rnacentral:lncRNA from 1 species
CCCCCGGGCUGGGAACACCUCCAGGCCAGCGCUUUAGCAUCAUCCGAGGCUCUCCGCUUCCUCAGGGGGACCCGAGUUCUUCCACGCGACUCGCUCCUCUGAGAGGCGAUGCCUGGGAGUGUAAACCAUGCGAGUGUUCCUCUGCGGUUCCCCAAUUCCUAGCCCGACGCCUUGCACAGAGCGGGUCAUUCAAUGCAUGAAUGAAGAAAAGAGGAACCAAGGGGGGAAUUACGGAUGGAAAGCCAGUACUUGCUAUGGACCCCAGAGUGGAGAUUCUCUACAGAAUGACUAUUUGUGAGAAGGAUCUGAGCGGCCACUUCCAGGUAUUGCGCCAAGGGAGAGAAGGAAGAGGCGAUGCUAUGUAUAGGCUGUGCAGACCUGGCCCGAGUGUCUGUGCUUCGGCUUCCUUGUCUGUAUUUUGGGGCAGAAAUACCUGCAUCAUCGGCUGUGAAAACUGGAAGUGAUAACAUGAUACAUACAAUGCUGGGCACAGAGAAGGAGCUCUGUGAUUUUAGAUCCUGACUUUCACCUUUAUCUGCACUUGUGAUCCCUUCUUUAGGGCCCAGAUUUGAACCUAACAAAAAGUCGCUCCCCCUCGUCUUCUCCUUCCAAAUUUUAGAAACAUAGGGGUUCAUUUGCAGG